AACGAACGCUGGCGGCAUGCCUAACACAUGCAAGUCGAACGAGACCUUCGGGUCUAGUGGCGCACGGGUGCGUAACGCGUGGGAACCUGCCCUUAGGUUCGGAAUAACUCCCCGAAAGGGGUGCUAAUACCGGAUAAUGUCUUCGGACCAAGGAUUUAUCGCCUUUGGAUGGGCUCGCGUUGGAUUAGCUAGUUGGUAGGGUAAAAGCCUACCAAGGCGACGAUCCAUAGCUGGUCUGAGAGGAGGAUCAGCCACACUGGGACUGAGACACGGCCCAGAAUCGUACGGGAGGCAGGAGAGGGGAAUGAUGCACAAUGGGCGAAAGCCUGAUCCAGCAAGGACGCGUGAGUGAUGAAGGCCUUAGGGUUGUAAAGCUCUUUUACCUGGGAAGAUAAUGACGGUACCGGGAGAAUAAGCGCCGGCUAACUCCGUG
rnacentral:rRNA from 1 species